AUAUGUAGUUUGUUAUUAAUGGUGCCCCACCAGAUAAACCUAAAAAGAUACAUUGCUAUUUUAGGCCUAAUGCCCAACAAGUGGCUUCAUUUGUGUUAGACUCUGCAGAACCCCCUUGGGCUGUAGCCCACCAGGUUCCUCUGUCCAUGGGAUUCUCCAGGAAACUUGCAGACCAGAGUCAUCAGAGAGAAGAAGGAAUCCCCACACGUUGGUGGAAACUACUUAGUGUUCACGUCAGUCCCGACCUGAUUGUUGUCCACACACGUCUGUCCUCCAGAAACACCAGGAUUAAAGAGUGCACACAGCUUCUCAAGACCAGUGUUUCAUCUCACAUGAUUCUGACAGAAUUUAAAUGCCUUCCAGCCACACUGUCUGAAAUAUGCAUUUGAAUCAUAUUCCCGCUUAGAAGGUAAUUUCUGUUACUGGGAUCUUUAAGGUUUUAAAACUAGGACAGCCUCAGAAAACAACACUGAUCUCGGCUAAAGUGUGGCUUUAAUCUCCUGUUAAGAAA